GACGGAGGAGGCAAGCGUUAUCCGGAAUUAUUGGGCGUAAAGCGUCCGCAGGCGGUUUUUUAAGUCUGUUGUCAAAGCCCACAGCUCAACUGUGGAUCGGCAAUGGAAACUGGGGAACUUGAGUGUGGUAGGGGUAGAGGGAAUUCCCGGUGUAGCGGUGAAAUGCGUAGAUAUCGGGAAGAACACCAGUGGCGAAGGCGCUCUACUGGGCCACAACUGACGCUGAGGGACGAAAGCUAGGGGAGCGAAA
rnacentral:rRNA from 1 species